rnacentral:tRNA from 1 species
GAGGGUGUGGUGUACCGGCUGCACGCCGCCCUGUGGAGGCGGAGGUCCUGGGUUCGAUUCCCGCCACCCUCCCCA